rnacentral:rRNA from 1 species
UCCAGGAAUCAUAUGAAUGUCUCAAAAAAUAAGCCAUGCAUGUUUAAGUUCCAAACUCCCUAAAGUGGAACCGCGAACUGCCCCUUAAAUCACACCUAAUUUUCUGGAUAGUUUACAGUUACUUGGAUAAAUGCGGUAAUUUUGGAGCUAAUUCAUGCAACCAGCCUCGAACUUACGUGAGAGGCGAUUUUAUUAGAUCAAAACCCAACGUUUUUGGACGUAUUUUUGGUGACUUUGGAUAACUUUGAGCUGAUCGCAUUAGCCUUGCGCUGGCGACAUAUCCUUUGAAGGUGUGCCCUAUCAACUGUUGACUGUGGCAUAGACGCCCCCCGUGGUUUUGACGGGUAACGGGGAAUCAGGGUUCGAUUCCGGAGAGGGAGCCUUAAAAACGGCUUCCACAUUUAAGGAAGGCAGCAGGCACGCAAAAUACCCAAUGACCGCAGGUCGAGGUAGUGACGAAAAAUAACGAUACGGGACUCAUCCGAGGCCCCGUAAUCGGAAAGAGGACACUUUAAAACCGUCCCCGAGGAUUUAUU